UGCCGGGGCAAUUAAGAUUCUGA
rnacentral:miRNA from 1 species